GCUGCUGUUUUAAUGUGCAGCAUCUCUAUUUACAGCGGGAACGCUCCAGGAACACCUUCCCCUCCUGCCGCUGCUGAUUUCAGCACUGCUGCAGGACCCAGGUAUUUUCCAGAGCGGCCUGGGGCUUUGCCAGUGGAAAAGCUUGUCAUCGGAUGGUGCUCCCUUCCCGACCCUGGUGCUCCAGCCUCCAGUUCUGGGAGGUGGUGGGGUGAUGGAGUCAAGACAAGGGUGGAAGGCCAGGAAGAGAUCAGCUAUGCACAGACAAUUACAAUGGGCUCAAAACCCCAGAACAUUUACCUUUUCCAACCGAAUGACUCUAUAAAAUGGACACCUGCCAUGUUCCUAAGCAUGAAUCACUGUACUUAGAGGCACACACAAGUGCAGCGCAGUCACGCCUAGUUGCUCACCGAUGUAUCAGAUCCAAUGCUCAGGGUUCAGUGCCUGAGCCAAAUGUUAAAGUUAUUUGUUCUUGUCAAUAAACUAAACUUUACGGUGACCCUCUAUUUUUAUUAUGCCACAUGUAUUUUAAGAGAGGUGGCCGCUGCUUGAGCUGGCAGCCGGGGCUCUAGCGAGGCCCGACAAAUGCCAAGGAAGCGCAUCCCUGGGGACCCGCUGUCAGCACGCAAGGCUGGCUAGGCCUGUGACGGUUUUCUCCUGGUUCUAGGGAGGCUACCUUCUCUAUGACACUGCACCACCACAGGGCAGUCUUUUGGGGUCUGGGGCCUCAAGUGCAGUGUUGCCUGGUCCUCAGCCUGGCUACAGAGAUGAUGUUUGGAAAUAAAAUGAAAUGUGAAAAAAAGAAAAGAAAAAAAAGAAAAGAAGAAGAAGAAAAAAAACAACCUGCAAAACAACAAAUGAAGCAAAGCAAAGCCUAACCCCUAAACACACAGCCAGGUGCCACAGAGCGCAAGCGAAACACUCUGCGCCAAGCAGCCAGUGCGUACCAGUGAAUUUCCGGUUCAUCUCCCUGAGGCACGGAAGUAACCACACAGUCCUGGCUGCAGAGCUGCAAGGGGCAGGGGCCAUGCUCGUGAGCCCGAGGCCGGGCCUGUUGUCUUGACGUUUGGAGAAGUCUCCCUUAAAGAGAUGCUGGGGCUCCAGAUGUGUGAGAAUCUGGGUGGUCUUGAGAGACUCCACCCCCACCCCCAACGCAGCCACGCUGCAGCAGCUGGAUGGAUGGAGCAGGUGCAUAGGAACAGAGGUUUCAUAUCCCCAGUCAGUGGAGCUGUGUGGAAAAGGGACUUUCUGCUCCACAAGUAGAUGAAAAAUCACAGCCAUCUCCACCCUCCCCCCCAAAGCUCUUUUUUAAUAUUUAAAUUUUGGAAUUUAACCAACACAGUAAAAUAUAUAACUUUGGAA
rnacentral:lncRNA from 1 species